CAUAGCUUGCAGUCAACCCCACCACUGACCACGCUGUCCCCUUUCCACCAGUCAGCACACAGCACCUUGUCCUCAUGUGAUUCAAUAACAGACAGAGGCCACGCAGUUCUUAGAUCCCACAACAUAACCUUCCCAUCAUAGGAUGCAGAAAGUAAAUGAAACCACGAUUUAUCAUGCCACUUGCAACCCGAAAUCCAAGAAGUGUGAGAAGAGAACUGAUAAAUAGGGGCAGAAGUUCCUGGUUUUCGUGGAUCCCAUAUCCUAAGGAUGGGAUCAG
rnacentral:misc_RNA from 1 species